rnacentral:lncRNA from 1 species
CUCACGUAUCCUGUUCUGUGCGUUUCUGGAAUUAAAUAUUUUCUGAUUCACCCUGAGGAUUUUGCUCCCUGGGAACAGACCAGAUGGGCUCUCAGAGAUCUUGAAGUCAUGGGAAUAAUUCCUAAAGCUAAUGAGACUUAUGAAAUGCAAAGGUUCUAUGAAGGCCUUCCAGGAGAAACAGGUGAAAUACCUGGGGCACUGCUAUGGCCAGGCUGAGUUGUUCCAGCUCAACUGAACCCAACAAAGCCUCCACUGCCUGACUGCAGAACACAGCCUUUGAUUGCUCAUGCAGAAAGGUGGCUUGUGAUGAUUGGAACACUCUGAUAUCUGGUAAGUCAAGUAUUUUUACAAAUAAAAUUCUAUGUGCGGCAGGGACACCUAGAGAACCACUCUGGGCCUCUGCCAUCAUCUUUGUGAGCACAGAAAAUCACACAAUUAGAUUGUAAUUAUUAGAUACUGACAUUCACUUGGCUCAAGAUACAUUUUUUUGUUAUUUAGUGUCAAUUUAAAUUUUAGGAUGAAGGCAGGACUUAGAUCAAAGGAAGAAAUUAUCUGAAUCAGAACAUCACUCUGAGGUGAUACAGGCACCACAGAUAACCAGCUUGGG